UACGUAGGUGGCAAGCGUUGUCCGGAUUUACUGGGCGUAAAGAGCGCGCAGGCGGUCGUUCAAGUCGCGUGUGAAAGCCCCCGGCUCAACUGGGGAGGGUCACGCGAUACUGAUCGACUCGAAGGCAGGAGAGGGUAGUGGAAUUCCCGGUGUAGUGGUGAAAUUCGUAGAUAUCGGGAGGAACACCAGUGGCGAAGGCGGCGAUCUGGGUCGAUACUGACGCUGAGGUGCGAAAGCGUGGGGAGCAAACAGG
rnacentral:rRNA from 1 species